AUUGAACGCUGGCGGAAUGCUUUACACAUGCAAGUCGAACGGCAGCACGGACUUCGGUCUGGUGGCGAGUGGCGAACGGGUGAGUAAUGUAUCGGAACGUGCCCAGUCGUGGGGGAUAACGUAGUGAAAAUUACGCUAAUACCGCAUACGAUCUAUGGAUGAAAGCGGGGGAUCGCAAGACCUCGCGCGAUUGGAGCGGCCGAUAUCAGAUUAGGUAGUUGGUGGGGUAAAGGCCCACCAAGCCAACGAUCUGUAGCUGGUCUGAGAGGACGACCAGGCACACUGGAACUGAGACACGGGCCAGACUCCUACGGGAGGCAGCAGUGGGGAAUUUUGGACAAUGGGCGAAAGCCUGAUCCAGCCAUUCCGCGUGCAGGAUGAAGGCCCUCGGGUUGUAAACUGCUUUUGUACAGAACGAAAAGGUUUCUACUAAUACUAGGAGCUCAUGACGGUACCGUAAGAAUAAGCACCGGCUAACUACGUGCCAGCCGCCGCAGUAA
rnacentral:rRNA from 1 species